rnacentral:rRNA from 1 species
GUGUCAGCAGCCGCGGUAAUACGGAGGAUCCGAGCGUUAUCCGGAUUUAUUGGGUUUAAAGGGUGCGCGGGCGGGGGAUUAAGUCGGCGGUGAAAUUUUGCAGCUCAACUGUAAAAGUGCCUUCGAAACUGGUUUCCUUGAGUGUAGAUGAAGUAGGCGGAAUUUGUGGUGUAGCGGUGAAAUGCAUAGAUAUCACGAGGAACUCCGAUUGCGCAGGCAGCUUACUAAACUACUACUGACGCUCAGGCACGAAGGCGUGGGGAUCAAACAGGAUUAGAUACUCCCGGGUAGUCC